rnacentral:rRNA from 1 species
GACGAACGCUGGCGGCGCGCUUAACACAUGCAAGUCGAGCGAGAACCCAGGCUUCGGCCUGGGGGAAAGCGGCGAACGGGUGAGUAACACGUGGGUAAUCUGCCCUCGGCAUCGGGAUAGCCCGGGGAAACCCGGAUUAAUACCGGAUGGCCCGACAGCUCUUCGGAGCGGUCGGAAAAGGUAGCUUCGGCCUCCGGCCGAGGAGGAGCCCGCGGCGGAUUAGCUUGUUGGUGAGGUAACGGCUCACCAAGGCUCCGAUCCGUAGCUGGUCUGAGAGGACGAUCAGCCACACUGGGGCUGAGACACGGCCCAGACUCCUACGGGAGGCAGCAGUGGGGAAUCUUGCGCAAUGGGCGAAAGCCUGACGCAGCGACGCCGCGUGAGGGAAGAAGGCCUUCGGGUUGUAAACCUCUUUCAGGAGGGACGAAGGUUCAGGCGCGAAUAGCGUCCUGGACUGACGGUACCUCCAGAAGAAGCCCCGGCUAACUACGUGCCAGCAGCCGCGGUAACAC